GACGAACCGUCCUAACGUUGUUCGGAAUCACUGGGCUUAAAGGGCGCGUAGGCGGGUUCCCAAGUCGGUGGUGAAAUCUUUCGGCCCAACCGGAGAACAGCCGCCGAUACUGGGAGUCUUGAGGGAGGUAGGGGUCGAUGGAACUUCCGGUGGAGCGGUGAAAUGCGUAGAUAUCGGAAGGAACGCCGGUGGCGAAAGCGAUCGACUGGACCUUUUCUGACGCUGAGGCGCGAAAGCCAGGGGAGCAAACGGG
rnacentral:rRNA from 1 species